GCCUAUAACCAUACUAUCCUGAAUGUGUUUGCGUGUCUGAUCUCAUCUGGUCUUGUCAAAGCUAAGCCAGGGUUGAGGGGUUGAGACUGGUUAUUACCUAAAUGGGAAGCUUCCUGGGAAUACUGUGUGCUGUAGGCU
ensembl:rRNA 5S_rRNA 5S ribosomal RNA